rnacentral:ncRNA from 2 species
ACUACGCCUGUUCUUUUAAAAAGAAAAUAUUGAUUUUGGUAAAGGGAAUACGGUUAAAAGCCGUAACGGUCGCGCCGCUGUAAGCGUUUGAUGACCAAAGAAGUCGUACCACUGUUUUGAAAAUUUUAAUCUCAAAUUCGAAAUUUCAGAACGGGAAGGGUUCUUUGUGAAAACGCAAGUCAGAAAACCUUGCUGAAAUCGAAAAUUUGU